GAUAUUGACGAGUGCUCAAAACCGAAUAACUGUAGUCAGCUGUGCAAUAAUACAGUCGGCUCAUAUGAAUGUUACUGCAGGAUCGGAUUUUUAAUCAAUUCUGAUAACCCCACAACCUGCACAGGUAAAUAUUCAAACGAUUUUGAUUUCUGCUCCAUAUCAUCUGACACGACUAAUGAACCUAUUUCAUUUACACACAAAA